UACGUAGGGGGCAAGCGUUGUCCGGAAUCAUUGGGCGUAAAGAGCGUGUAGGCGGCUCGGUAAGUCCGCUGUGAAAGUCCAGGGCUCAACCCUGGAAUGCCGGUGGAAACUGUCGGGCUAGAGUCCGGAAGAGGCGAGUGGAAUUCCGUGGUGUAGCGGUGAAAUGCGCAGAUAUCAGGAGGAACACCAAUGGCGAAGGCAGCUCGCUGGGACGGUACUGACGCUGAGACGCGAAAGCGUGGGGAGCAAACAGG
rnacentral:rRNA from 1 species